GAUGAACGCUAGCGGCAGGCUUAAUACAUGCAAGUCGUGGGGCAGCAUGAGUGUAGCAAUACAUUUGAUGGCGACCGGCAAACGGGUGCGGAACACGUACACAACCUUCCUUCAAGUGGGGAAUAGCCCAGGGAAACUUGGAUUAAUACCCCGUAAUAUUAUGGAGUGCAUCACUUUAUAAUUAUAGCUCCGGCGCUUGAUGA
rnacentral:rRNA from 1 species